AAGUCGUAACAAGGUCUCCGUUGGUGAACCAGCGGAGGGAUCAUUACAGAGUUGCAAAACUCCCUAAACCAUUGUGAACGUUACCUUUACCGUUGCUUCGGCGGGCGGCCCGGGUCCUGCCCGGCGCCCCUGGCCCCUCGCGGGCGCCCGCCGGAGGUAAACCAAACCAUUGCAUUGUAUGGCCUCUCUGAGUCUUCUGUACUGAAUAAGUCAAAACUUUCAACAACGGAUCUCUUGGUUCUGGCAUCGAUGAAGAACGCAGCGAAAUGCGAUAAGUAAUGUGAAUUGCAGAAUUCAGUGAAUCGUCGAAUCUUUGAACGCACAUUGCGCCCGCCGGUAUUCUGGCGGGCAUGCCUGUUCGAGCGUCAUUUCAACCAUCAAGCCCCGGGCUUGUGUUGGGGACCUGCGGCUGCCGCAGGCCCUGAAAACCAGUGGCGGGCUCGCUAGUCACUCCGAGCGUAGUAGUUACAUCUCGCUCAGGGCGUGCUGCGGGUUCCGGCCGUUAAAAGCCUUUUACCCCAAGGUUGACCUCGGAUCAGGUAGGAAGACCCGCUGAACUUAG
rnacentral:rRNA from 1 species